rnacentral:misc_RNA from 1 species
AAGUCGUAACAAGGUUUCCGUAGGUGAACCUGCGGAAGGAUCACUAGUGAUUAAAUCGAGAGCGUCUUCAUUGACCUCUCACCCUUCACAUCCACAUACACCUGUGCACCGUUUGGCUCUUAUAAAAGACGCAAGUCUGCAAUGAGAGUCAUCAAUUUUAUACAUACCCCAGUCUUAUAAAUGUAACAGUUUUAAUAAACAUAAUAAAACUUUUAACAACGGAUCUCUUGGUUCUC